rnacentral:rRNA from 1 species
UACGGGGGGGGGCAAGCGUUGUUCGGAAUUACUGGGCGUAAAGGGCUCGUAGGCGGCCAACUAAGUCAGACGUGAAAUCCCUCGGCUUAACCGGGGAACUGCGUCUGAUACUGGAUGGCUUGAGUUUGGGAGAGGGAUGCGGAAUUCCAGGUGUAGCGGGUGAAAUGCGUAGAUAUCUGGAGGAACACCGGUGGCGAAGGCGGCAUCCUGGACCAACACUGACGCUGAGGAGCGAAAGCCAGGGGAGCAAACGGGAUAGAAACCCC